rnacentral:rRNA from 1 species
AGUGAACGCUGGCGGUAGGCCUAACACAUGCAAGUCGAACGGCAGCACAGUAAGAGCUUGCUCUUACGGGUGGCGAGUGGCGGACGGGUGAGGAAUACAUCGGAAUCUACUUUUUCGUGGGGGAUAACGUAGGGAAACUUACGCUAAUACCGCAUACGACCUACGGGUGAAAGCAGGGGAUCUUCGGACCUUGCGCGAUUGAAUGAGCCGAUGUCGGAUUAGCUAGUUGGCGGGGUAAAGGCCCACCAAGGCGACGAUCCGUAGCUGGUCUGAGAGGAUGAUCAGCCACACUGGAACUUAGACACGGUCCAGACUCCUACGGGAGGCAGCAGUGGGGAAUAUUGGACAAUGGGCGCAAGCCUGAUCCAGCCAUACCGCGUGGGUGAAGAAGGCCUUCGGGUUGUGAAGCCCUUUUGUUGGGAAAGAAAAGCAGCAGGUUAAUACCCCGCUGUUCUGACGGUACCCAAAGAAUAAGCACCGGCUAACUUCGUG